rnacentral:rRNA from 1 species
CGUAGGUGGCAAGCGCUGUCCGGAUUUACUGGGCGUAAAGGAUGCGUAGCGGACAUUUAAGUCAGAUGUGAAAUACCCGAGCUUAACUUUGGGUGCUGCAAUUUGAAACUGGGUGUCUUAGAGUGCAGGAGAGGUAAGUGGAAAUUCCUAGUGUAGCGGUUGAAAUGCGCGAUAUCGGGAGGAACACCGGUGGCGAAGGCGG